UGGGGGAUAUUGCACAAUGGAGGAAACUCUGAUGCAGCGACGCCGCGUGAGGGAAGAAGGUCUUCGGAUUGUAAACCUUUGUCUUCAGGGAAGAACGACGAGUAAUCGUCUUGACGGUACCUGAGGAGGAAGCCACGGCUAACUACGUGCCAGCAGCCGCGGUAAUACGUAGGUGGCAAGCGUUGUCCGGAAUUACUGGGUGUAAAGGGUGCGCAGGCGGGGCAAUAAGUUGGAUGUGAAAUACCCGGGCUCAACUCGGGUGCUGCAUUCAAAACUAUUGCUCUUGAGUGAAGUAGAGGUAGGCGGAAUUCCCAGUGUAGCGGUGAAAUGCGUAGAUAUUGGGAGGAACACCAGUGGCGAAGGCGGCCUACUGGGCUUUUACUGACGCUGAGGCACGAAAGCAUGGGUAGCAAACAGG
rnacentral:rRNA from 1 species